UAAAGUGGUCACUGAAUGAGCUGUUGUAAGUUAAGGACUGACUUGUAUGUUUCCCUGUUUUUCCUCAGGGUGUUGUUGUCCACUAGGUGGCAGCAGAGAGGUUUCAGAUGUCCCGCAUGUACACGAUCCCCUUGUACGAGGAUCUCUGUACCAGCACCCUCAAAUCCUUCGCCCUAGAUGUUUUUUUACAGACCCAGACCCAGCUCCACCCGAACCUGCGGAAAACCAUUCAUCAGAUCCUGACCCAGGGCUUGAACCCACCACUUCUCGCCACGGAGAUGGCAGCCGUGGUGGCGGACCCUCCGGGCACCGAGCUGGAGGACAGAGGAGGCGCGCACGGCGCCGUUUCACUCAGGGACGUCAACGUGUCUGCUUAGCUGACGCUGGACCUUGGAAAGCUGGAAGGGCCAGCCAGAACGCCAAGCUGGGACUGCGCUCUCUUGCCCUUGGUGGCACUGCUGGGAGGGGAGUGGGGGUGGAUUUUUCCCUUUUUAAAAUCCCUCCCCGCGUGUACAUCGUGCCUUCAGGUGCCUGAGCCCCUAGGCACAGCGAGAUAUCAGGGAUACAUCUUUUUCUAACUCUUAAGCAGCGACUGGGAGCAAGUGACUGUUUAGCCUCAUUGCAUCAUGAAUGUGAACAUCAGAUUGAUUUCCUUUGGUGUGUUUGCCAACAAAAGCGCGUUUCCAGCACUCGCUUCCCAAGCCUUGGAAGGAGGCAGAAUCCUCCCUGGUCCCAGGCUGUGGAAGGAAAGAAAAGCAAAAAACUGAUCAGGAUCAUGGUAAACGUUGAAGUCGGGAUUGGUCCCGCUGUACGCUGCUGCGCUUGUGGCCCGGAGCCCUAACGAAUGAAACGUUUCUUCCAAGCGGUCUCUCGAUUUCAGGAAAAUGGUGGGAAAUGGGUCAGAGGUUAAAAAGAGAUUUGGGUGUGAUUCACAGGCCGAAGGUGUCGGCGCACUGCAGGCUUUAUAGAGAUGGGGAGGAGUGGGUGGAGAAGCCAAUCCUUGGUGGGGGGGGGUGUUAACGUGGGUGUUAACACUGCUUUGCUUUCCUCGGAGACCAGCAAGCCCAACGGUUAACGGUAUAGUAGGCACACACUGCCCAGCCGGGAUGGGAAGGCCUUCAAAGUUUGAGCCACGGGUACGUCUGUGGCCAGUCACCAAAUGCAACCGUGCAAUGUCGUUAUUUCCUUUCCACAACAGGUAAAAUAGGGGUGUUAAAAUCUUUUUUGCAACAAAACAAAACAAAACCCAACAACACAAACGCCUGUCCUGAGGCUGCUGUAAACCCACUGACUUUUGUCUUCACAUGCUUUUUGGUUUGUCCCUUUUCCCUGCAUACCUGAGCUCACACAACCCCUUUCACGUGUUUUACCAAAGCAUCUCUGGGAUUUCUUUCUGUGUGUACCUCCCUUGUUCAAGAGUAAUAUUUAUUCUGUGUCCCAGAAAAGAUGGGCAGAUAACCCUUAGAUACCACUCUGUGUCCAGCUCUGGCAGAGAGGGUUGCUUGUCCUCUGCCUCCUACUUUGUGAAAACUGGU
rnacentral:lncRNA from 1 species